UUACAGAUACUGCCGACCCUUUCCGGGCCCAAGCAGGAGUGGGUACAUCAGUCUCGAGCGGUGCUUCACUACCAGCGGCGACAACAAUAGGCGAUUCGACGCUUCAGGAAGGAAGUUGACGUCUCGCCAAUCCACUGGUGAAGAGCUGCCAAGACUCCGACAAUUGGGGACGACAAAUAAGGGGAACUGUUUUCACACGCAUGCGUAUAAUGAGCACACAAAGGAAAAUGCGGCUCAUCAUUGAAGCGCGUGACAUUACCUCGUGCGGUUUACCGUCUGUGCCAAAAGGUAAAAAGCCAGUCAAAAGAAGUGCCUCCUGUAUGUAGCACGGCCAUUGCUUGGAAUGUUAUGCAAGUGCUUAAGGAAGCAAUCGAAUUCAAUCUAUUUUGCUUAACUUACAAAGCUUUGAAGAGCUACUACUGUUAGACUGACUACACGAUACAGCUACUACAACGGUCACGGGCGGAUUGACCUUUAAACUUUUGACACAUUCCACCCGUGUCCGUUGUCGUAGCUGUAUCACAUAGUCACCUGGCCGACGGAAACGAUCGGCGCGCCGCGCGCCAUGAGCACUAUCGGCGACGACCGUAAGAGCGAGAGAUCAUUGCUAUAGCGCCCACGUCGUUCUGCAAACCGCCCUGCCAUUAAUGUUUUAGCUAAGAAUUCAAAGUAAUUCACUCAGAACGACGAGCAAGUCAGUCAAAUAGCCACAUGCCUUUGUCUUGUCAUCCACAACGUGCAGAAGUUGAAAACUCUCGCCAUCGAAUAAAAAGUUACAUCUUA